rnacentral:rRNA from 1 species
AAACAUGCAAGUCGAGGGGCAGCAAUUUGUAGCAAUACAAAGUUGGCGACCGGCGCACGGGUGAGUAACGCGUAUGCAACCUACCUACAACAGAAGAAUAAUCCGGCGAAAGUCGGUCUAAUACUUCAUAAAACAGGGAUACCGCAUGGUGUUAUUUGUUAAAGAUUUAUCGGUUGUAGAUGGGCAUGCGUACCAUUAGGUAGUUGGUGAGGUAACGGCCCACCAAGCCUACGAUGGUUAGGGGUUCUGAGAGGAAAGUCCCCCACACUGGUACUGAGACACGGACCAGACUCCUACGGGAGGCAGCAGUGAGGAAUAUUGGUCAAUGGGCGAGAGCCUGAACCAGCCAAGUCGCGUGAAGGAUGACGGCCCUAUGGGUUGUAAACUUCUUUUGCAGGGGAAUAAAGAUAUUCACGUGUGGGUAGUUGUAUGUACCCUGCGAAUAAGCAUCGGCUAACUCCGUGCCAGCAGCCGCGGUAAUACGGAGGAUGCGAGCGUUAUCCGGAUUUAUUGGGUUUAAAGGGUGCGUAGGUGGGCUAUUAAGUCAGUGGUGAAAGUUUGUCGCUCAACGAUAAAAUUGCCGUUGAAACUGGUGGUCUUGAGUAU